GGAGGGCGCAAGCGUUGUUCGGAAUCAUUGGGCGUAAAGCGCGUGUAGGCGGCUUGGCAAGUCGGGUGUGAAAGCCCGGGGCUCAACCCCGGAAUUGCACUCGAUACUGCCUCGCUAGAGUCCCGGAGAGGGUGGCGGAAUUCCCGGUGUAGAGGUGAAAUUCGUAGAUAUCGGGAGGAACACCAGCGGCGAAGGCGGCCACCUGGACGGUGACUGACGCUGAGACGCGAAAGCGUGGGGAGCAAACAGGAUUAGAUACCCUGGUAGUCCACGCCGUAAACGUUGGGUGCUAGGCGCUGCGGGUAUUGACCCCCCCUGCAGUGCCGACGUUAACGCAUUAAGCACCCCGCCUGGGGAGUACGGUCGCAAGAUUA
rnacentral:rRNA from 1 species